CUAGUUCUGACCGUAAACGAUGCCAACUAGCGAUCCGCCGGUGGUAAUUACGCCCCGGCGGGGAGCUUCCCGGAAACGAAAGUCUUCCGGUUCCGGGGGAAGUAUGGUUGCAAAGCUGAAACUUAAAGGAAUUGACGGAAGGGCACCACCAGGAGUGGAGCCUGCGGCUUAAUUUGACUCAACACGGGAAAACUCACCCGGCCCGGACACCGUAAGGAUUGACAGAUUGAGAGCUCUUUCUUGAUUCGGUGGUUGGUGGUGCAUGGCCGUUCUUAGUUGGUGGAGCGAUUU
rnacentral:rRNA from 1 species